AAAGUAUGCAUCCGAAGAAGUGAGGUUUUUACUCACGAAAGCUUAUGCCCAAAUAAAUCUAUUAGUCUUUAAGGUGCCACCAGACUCCUUAAGGUCUUGGGUGUGACCCAGGGGUUGUCAAUAGGCCACAUCUGGACCUCCGGACACAUUGUGAUGGACCAAAAAAUCCUUCUAUUCACGUACUAUUAUUGUGGUGUGAAAAUGUUUCUCUGGAGUCUGGACCUUGAUUAUGCCUUAACCCAGAAAUUUGAACCUUCACAAAAAUAGACUGCCCCUGGAUAAAGCCCUCAGUGGCAUAUGACCAGCCUCCCUGAGGGCUCGCCCUUCUCUCUGCCUUACUGCCACAGCUGUAGUCACGGGGGCACUCCAGUGGAUCCCCCUAGUUAGGAAAGAGAGGGGUGGCUGGCAGGGUGCUCUCCCUGUUAGGGCUCGGAGACUCUGGGAUCUCCUCCCCCUCUUGGUCUGAAAUAGUCAGAAUCUGAUUAUUUUCCAGGCACGCUGCGAAAGACACCUGUUUGAUAAGGUUUUUGGAGAGGGCUGAGGGUAUGCUUCUUAGAUAGUGAAGGGGAAGAAAGGAGCUUCUGUAGGUGGCUGGCUAAGCUGCUGACGUGAUCAUUUUAAUGUUGCUGAGGUUUGAAGUGUAUUAGUGAGUGUUAAGGCACCAAGGGACUUGGAAAGGCAUCUUUAUAGUUAUUUGUAAAUUUAAAUAAAUAAAUAUCAACUAUUGUAUCUACACUAAUGGCUCGCAGGUCUACCUCUCCACUGUCUCUUGUCUUCUGUCCUAGCUAAAAUCUAGGCCUGUCUGACAUCUCAUGGACGUUCAGCCAUCAGCUGAAGCUCAACAUGGCCAAAAGAAAGAUCGUAAUCUUUCCCCUCAAGCCUCUAUCCUCCCUUUUUCACUCACCAUGGAUGACGCCACCCAUCCUCAUUGUCACAAAGGCCUGUAACUGGGUGUCAUCUUUGACUCGGUCCUCUGUCUAGAUCAGCGGUUCUCAACCCACAGGCUGCAUGUGAUCCAAUUAGCACACAGCUGCAGCCCAGCUCAGCUAUGUGCUAAAGGCCAUGGGCUGCAGGCUGCCCUGCCACGUGGUGGGCUCUGGGUUCCGGGCUGCCCUGCCACACGGCGGGCUCCGGCAUCCGGGCUCCCAGCUGCCCUGACAUGUACCGGGCUGUUGGCUGCCACUGGCCCUGCAGGGCAGAGCUCAGGGUCUGGGCAGCUGGCUGCCGCCUGGCCCACUCCACAGCAGGGCUUGGGAUCUGGUCAGCCAGCUGCUGCCUGGCUCCCCACACAGCAUAUGUGGCCCAUAAUGAUAAAUAGGUUGAGAACCACUGGUCUAGAUGCUCACAUCCCAGCUGUAUCUACUUCUUGCUGGUUCUUCCUGAAUAAUGUCUUUAAGAUUUACCAUAUAGAUAAACUUCACUUUAUCUCAUGUCUCAACUACAAGUUCCUCCUCUCUGGUCGUGAGAAACCACUUUUUGUUCCACUUACGUUCAUUCAGAGCACUGCUGUAAAAAUCAUUUACUUGCUUUGUCACUUUGACCAUUUCCUCCUCUGCAUCCUUCCACUCUCUUCCCCCAUCUCCACUGCAUCAAACACUAUUUGUCUUCCCUUUAAAAGGCCUUCAUGGCCUAGCUUCACUCUUAUGUCAUCUCAUAUACACUUUUGAGAUGUGACUGUUGCCUCUGUUCUGCCAAUGAUUCCAGCUUUCAUUGCCCAUUUGCUGAAAUUGUCAGUUUUCCAAGAACACCUUUGCACUUUCUUCUAUGCUGCCCCUUAUGCAUGGAAAGAGCUCUCCGUAAAAGUCCGCAAAACCACCACCUUGUCCUCUCAAAUCUCCUCUUGGUUAUGUUGCCUCCAAAGUGCUUGGCAAUGAUGAGGCAGUUGGUCUACUGUGACUGCUGCUUAUUACACCGAUCAUAAUAAUCUGUUUCCUUGUGCUCCCUCUGUAUCAGCGUAUUGGCUCUUGCCUCCAUUUAAGCUACCCCUUCCUUGAAUUCACUUCUUUCACACGGCUGAAGGUGGAGGCUGCCAGAUUGCAUUUUUUUUUUAAAUGCAGCCUCAGGUUUCCUGUUUUGCCUUAUUCUGAGCUCUUUCGCUCAACAGCCUGAUUCAAACUCCUUACCAUACACACUCCUCAUCUUGGCAUGGAUGUAAGCAGGGCAGAAACCUCUGUGGCAGAAAUGAGUGAAGAAAUAAUCUAUACUUCUGUACGGUUUUCACAGACACCGCCAGUCUGUUCCAUUGAUGUCAGGACAAAUAGAGGUAAGCAAGCCAAAUGAAACUGGUGAAUCCCAGAGCAAAGGCUCUGUCAUAUGGUAUCUACAGGAGCUAUUGCAGAAAUGUUCAGAGCUGGUCAUUGAUAUUUGGGUGUCCAGCUUGAGACAUUUGGGGUUUGAUUUUUUAAAAGUGCUGAGCACUCACAACUCUAUGGGAAAUCAGUGGGAGCUGAAAGAGCACAGCAUCUCUGAAAUUAAGGCCCCUAGUAGGAUUCUCAGGUUGGGUACCCGAAAUCUGUAGCUUUCUUGAGCUUGACUGCAUGACAGUAGACUGGAGAAUUUAAGCCUAUGUAGAUUAAUAAAGAUGAAGAUACAGAUAAAUUAUUGGCAUAUAUGAGUCAUACAUGAGAGAGGGAAAAGAUCUUUUAGAUCAUUCUGUCCGUCUUCCAAGGGCGAGUGCAAGAUUGUUUCAUGUGGCAUAUUAUAUUUUUUUCAGUGUUUUCUUCAGUCUAGUUUUAAAAGACCCCCGUGACAGAGCUUCCAUCUCUUCUCCUGAGAGACCAUUCCACAGCUCAGCACAUCUCACUAUCAGGAAGAUUUUCCUGGGAUUCAUCUUAUAUUUUUCCUUUCAUAGUUUCCUCUCCCCUCUUGCUGUUUAUACCCUUCAGAUAUUUGCAGGCUGUUAUGAAGUCCCCACCUUAGUUGUGGUUAAGUUAAGAUGGAUUUUUAGCUCUCUUAAUUUCUCCUUAAAAUUGUUUCCUUCCAGUCCCCUGAUCAUUUUUGUUGCUCUUCUCUGAACUCCCCCCAGUUUGCUGAUGUCUAAUAAUGAGGUGCCCACAUUGAACAUAAUAUUCCAGGUAGGGUCUCAUCAGAACUGUGUAGAGAGGGGCUAUCGCUUCACUGUCCCAAGAAGAGUUGCUUCUGUGUAUGCAGCUAAAACACACAUUCCUGGUGCCUGGGACUGUUGAUGCCACGUGCCUAGAUAUAAAUCUGUUUGAACAAAGCUGCAUAGGAAACUUCAAAUAUCCACCUGCCAGUGAAGUCUCACUCAGUUGGUAGGAAACCUCCUUGGUUUUGGAUAUGUUUUCUGGCUGUGUUUCAAGUCCAUUACGUGGGAGAUGUGGAUUGUAUUGUGUAUAUUUCAAUUAGAUGUUUGCAGUCUUUCUUUCGUUUCAAAAUCUCCCUUUUCACAUUGUCCCCUGCUGAGCUAAGGCUAGAGGAACAGAAAAGGGGAAGCUCCUCUUCACACCCACAUCCCUGUGCCUCCCCAAGAAACAGCGUCUGAUCACUGUCUAUCUCAUUCCUCCAAAUCUCCAAAUGAAGUAUCUCUGGGCUGAAGCAAGGCUCUUACUACCUCUUAUUGGGUCAUAUCUUGUCAUUUCCUGGGGAACAAUGCAGUUCACCACAGUCAACUCUCCAAGAGCUUUGUCCAGUCCCUAUUUAAAUGUCCUGUGUGUAAAAGGGUUCCCUCCUCUUCCUUUAGGGAGACUCUUCUCCAGUCUCACAGGUUCUUCACUGUUAGGGAAUAUUUUGUGAUUAUCCAGUGUGAGAUUUCCACUUCUUGUUCAGUUUCAUCUCAUCUUGGUUUUUCCCUUUCCCCACACAAAGCCUCUCUCCUCAUGUGAUACCAUAACAGCUGAGAUCAGCAGAGGCCCUUAGGCCUCCGGCACCUUGGUUCAACAGGGCAGAACUACAGGCACUGAAUUCUCACUGAAGGACCCUCAACUCUGGAGUUUGCUUUCCUUCUUAGUUGGAUGGAUCCUGCCAAGACUCAGAUUCAGCCAGUAUGUGCCGGUGCAGCAUACCAACACUGCUUGCAUGCUGCUAUCUUAUUCUCCAAAAUUUAAGUUUUCGUGUGUUUUAAAAAGUCUCUAGCUGUAACGGUUGGUUGGAGAGAUGCACUCAGCUCCUGUUUUCAAGGCUAAAGGAUGCAGUGAUCUCUAUCUGUGUUUGCAGAGUCUGAAACAGUAAUUCUGUGGUGUGUGAACUGCCCUAUUUAUCUCAGUGGGAGCCACACCGGAUACACAAGGAUAACAAUGUUGACAUUUCAAGUAUUAAUUAUUUCAUUGCUCACCUGUUGAAGUCCCAGGAAGGUGGGCAUGCACAAACCUCCCCACAACUGAAGGCAUGGGCAGUGCGUGAACCGCUGGCUGGGGGAGACUAGCCCCCAGCCCUGCCCCAUCUGCCCAGGGCCUCGCCCCUUCCACCAGAGCCCACCCACUGUGGCUGCCGGCCCCUGCGCCAGGCUAGUGCCCCCAGCCCUGGGGGGAGGGAGGGCGAUGCCAGUGCAGCCCCCCGGAACGCCGGGAGGGUGGAGCUGGGCUGCAGCAUGGGAAGCAGCAGGGGGGCUGGGGGUGGAGCAUGAGUGGGCCAUGCCUAUCUGGGGAGGCACAGCCUCCCCUAGCCUGUGAUACCUGCCACCCAUGGCUAAAGGCUAAGGAGAGGAGCCACUGAACCCAGGGCUCAAAUAAUUAUGGGUGACAACAAAAGAAAUCAGCUCACUGUGAGCAUGUAGAAAAGGAGAGGGAUGAUCCUAUUAUGAAGGUCUGUGCAAUCUACUGAGUGAUACCUCAUUUUUGGCACCAUGAGUGAUUGGCCUUGGGAGAGUACUGCCACUUUCCCCAGUCAAGAAGGGGCCAAACCUAAGGAGCCUAGUAGAGCCCAAAAGAGCAUCUGACCCCUCUUGAAGGAGAGCCACGCUCACGAAGCCCAGUGGUGUAUAUGUGCCUCACUCAGGGGAAACCAAACACACAGAGCCCAUGGGUGUCUUUGCACCCAGUGGUGGGGAACCAAGCCCAAAGAUCAGGCAUGAUCACAUUUUGAACAUCUAUACAAUUGACUGUGAGUGAUAUCUUGUGGCUGGAUCUUGGAAGGGUACCACUGCCUUUAUUUUGGUUUGUUUCCAUCUGCACCCUGGAUCCUGAGUCUGCUGACCUUGAUAGUCUGGCUCAAGGCCUUUUAACUUCCCCAGCCUUUGGGGAAGGGGCAAGAUUAGGAAAGUGUAUGUGGGUUCAAUGGAUAUUGAUAACUUAUUGGGACUAACUGAUUAAGGCAGAUGAAUUUAUAGGGAUACAUUUAUUUCUGGUUUGUGAUUCUUUCAUUGUACAUGUGCCAAGAGCCCAGUGAGAGGGCGAUUUAAAAGUCAAAAUAAUAACAUAGCCAGCACAGCUACAGUUGUAAGUAAGCAACUGUAGCCGUCACAAUUCUAUUUUAGUCUUUCCUCAUUCAUAUUGUGUUGAAAUUAGUUUUUCAUGGCAGCAGGAACUUUGGUUCUGUGGGAAAGAUGCAACGUCUAGACUGAGAGGUUGAGAGAGGAGGAUCUGGGACGCAUACUCUGUUUUUGAGAAGAGGGAGGAACUGAAAAGUUUGGACAGGUGACUUCUCAGAACUGUGAAACCAGACUUCAGUGUUAAGUCUCCCCAGCACUGGUCAUCUGGCCUGUACAGCUUGGCAGUAGGUGUUGGGACACUGAGCGCCCUCAUGGUGAUUGCAGUGGUAGUAUGCACGGUUUGGAGGAAUGCACCUGUCUUGCUUUCAGAGGGCUAAAUUCUGCUCUCACAGGAUUAAGUAACUGCAUCCACUGAAGUCUGUGGAAUUAUCCAAGUGUCAGAGGAAGAUCAGCCCUAUAGUGCACACAACUGAUCAAAUGCAGAGAUCGCUCCUGUCCUGGAUGCCCUGACCAGUGGUUUGGUUACAGGAGCAGCUGUUACUACUUCUCCAAGAUGGAAAAAGGAUUGGAAUUCCAGCCAGGCAUCCUGUUCUGCAGAAGGAUCACAUCUCCUGGUGAUCAGUGAUGCCAAGAAAAUGGACCUGUUCUUGAGAAUGCACAUAAAUUACCACUGGAUUGGUCUGAGGAACAGCACAGGCAGUGGCUGGACCUGGGAAGAUGGCUCAAAACUCAACAAUACAAAGGUCAUCUCUAACAGCCCCGUGCAGCACUGUGGCGUCCUGGUGAGCGGUGCCCUCCAGGCCUCCAGCUGUGCAGCUUAUUUACCAUGGAUCUGUGAGAAAUCCCCCAAGUAACCUCCUCCUGCACUUUCCCACAGAACAGUCUUCACUCACACUCAGCCAAUGGAUCUGGACCCCAACAGCGCAUCCAGACCUGCCUAAUCCUUGUUCCCAGUGGGGCAGGCUGAUGCUGCUCCUAGUAGGAGGUUUGUGUCACCAUUGCCCUCUGUUGAAAUUGCACAGCCAUGUAGGAGACUGAAAUCUGAUUCAUGGACUUUCAGCUCCCUGAGGCUGGAGCUCUGAGGGUGAGUUCUGUGCAGAAAACGUAGAUCCAUUUGCAGUCCUCAUCCUUUAGGGCUGGGAGCAUAGCAGAGACCUGCUGACAUUAUCUUUGUUGCCAUGGUAAAGACCUGAGUAUGAUUCCCAGUCUUAGUCUUUCUCACUCUGCCCCAGUGCCUAGGUUAUUAGUGUGACAGCGGCUGGGCCCAGUGACCCCUUAGGGUUACACUUCUGGGUUGCUGAGCAGAUGCUAGACUUUAUUUUUAGUCCAUGUUUCUCAUUUCUUUGGCACCAGGAAUGCUGCAGAAGCUGGGCCUUCUGCCCCUACUGAAUUGUUCUCUACUUGCUGUGCAGUAAACUGGUUUCCGUUCUGCUCCCAAAAUCUGUGUCUCAUUUGUGCCCCAAGACCAGGAGUGCUGUGAAGGGAAAGAGGAAGAUGAAAUGAGAAUGGGUGACCUUUGUCAGCCCAGAAAUGAAAGUAAACUUCUAACUCCAAUAGCUG